rnacentral:rRNA from 1 species
ACGGCUCAGUAACACGUGGAUAACCUGCCCUAAGGAAGGGGAUACCCCCGGGAAACUGGGUAUAAUACCCUAUAGAUUACAGAUGCUGGAAUGCCCUGUAAUCGAAAGUUCCGACGCCUUAGGAUGGAUCUGCGGCCGAUUAGGUUGUUGUCGGGGUAACGGCCCAACAAGCCAGUGAUCGGUACGGGUUGUGGGAGCAAGAGCCCGGAGUUGGAUUCUGAGACACGAAUCCAGGCCCUACGGGGCGCAGCAGGCGCGAAAACUUUACAAUGCGGGCAACCGUGAUAAGGGAACCUCGAGUGCCUGUAUAUGCAGGCUGUCCAGGUGUCUAAAACACACCUGAAGAAAGGGCCGGGCAAGACCGGUGCCAGCCGCCGCGGUAAUACCGGCGGCUCGAGUGGUGGCCGCUUUUAUUGGGCUUAAAGCGUUCGUAGCUGGGUCGUUAAGUCUCUUGGGAAAUCCGGCAGCUCAACUGUCGGGCGUCUAAGAGAUACUGGCGAUCUUGGAACCGGGAGAGGUGAGGGGUACUUCGGGGGGUAGAAGUGAAAUCCUGUAAUCCUCGAGGGACCACCUGUGGCGAAGGCGCCUCACCAGAACGGCUUCGACAGUGAGGGACGAAAGCUGGGGGAGCAAACCGGAUUAGAUACCCGGGUAGUCCCAGCCGUAAACGAUGUGCGUUAGGUGUAUCAACGACCACGAGUCGUUGAGGUGCCGAAGGGAAACCGUGAAACGUACCGCCUGGGAAGUACGGUCGCAAGGCUGAAACUUAAAGGAAUUGGCGGGGGAG